rnacentral:rRNA from 1 species
AUUGAACGCUGGCGGCAGGCCUAACACAUGCAAGUCGAGCGGAUGAAGGGAGCUUGCUCCUGGAUUCAGCGGCGGACGGGUGAGUAAUGCCUAGGAAUCUGCCUGGUAGUGGGGGCUAACGUCCGGAAACGGGCGCUAAUACCGCAUCCGUCCAGAGGGAGAACGUGGGGGAUCUUCAGACCUCACGCUAUCAGAUGAGCCUAGGUCGGAUUAGCUAGUUGGUGGGGUAAAGGCCUACCAAGGCGACGAUCCGUAACUGGUCUGAGAGGAUGAUCAGUCACACUGGAACUGAGACACGGUCCAGACUCCUACGGGAGGCAGCAGUAGGGAAUAUUGGAUAAUGGGCGAAAGCCUGACCCAGCCAUGCCGCGUGUGUGAAGAAGGUCUUCGGAUUGUAAAGCACUUUAAGUUGGGAGGAAGGGCAGUAAGUUAAUACCUUGCUGUUUUGACGUUACCAACAGAAUAAGCACCGGCUAACUUCGUG